rnacentral:lncRNA from 1 species
AUGCAGGGUGAGUGCAAUGGACCGUCCCCUCCUGGGUUUCUGGAACCAAGCUUGUACAUAACAGACACUCACACUGGCUUGCAUGGGUGGCACCCACUCUCCUCAGGCCAGCUCCGAAGAGCCCCCGCCCAGGAGGGUCACUCGGCUCCGCUUCCUCUGGAGCCCUGCCUCACUCUGGGAGGCAGCCCACUGGGGCCAGCCUUGCCCCUGUCUUCAAGCACACCGCAACCAGCCAAGCAGGGCAAGUCCCCAUUUGUAGAAGUGAAGCCAGAACAUCCACACUGCACGCACCCCGGGGCACAGAGCUGGCGUGCCCGGCGCGUGACCACCUCAACCUGGACGGGGAUGGACAGCGGCAGAACAAACCCAAACCUGGGGAGCCUGCAUCCAACCACCCUCCAGCUCCAACCACCGAUCUGCAAGAAAGACACUCGGCACAGAGAACACGCCGGGCUACACCCAGGAGACGCAGCUGCGGGAGACGGCAGCACCGAGCAGCCAGUGUCCCCAACAAACAGCAAGGCUGGGGGCUCAGGAGGAGGCUCUGGUCCUCGCAAUCCGAGGCCGCCCACUGUGAACAUCCACACCAGUGAGCAAUGGGCAACCCUGGCACCGUGUGCUCCCCGGCAGGGAGGAAGGCUUGGCCUUCAGAUGCCGGACACUAUGGGGGGCAUAAAAGGAGCAGAGAGGGAGACAGACACACACCCUUGUCAUGUGGUGACAUCUUCUGAAACAUCUGUCAACAAGAUGAUGCCACUGGGGUCUGCAAUGAGAAACGCAAAAUGGGACGGGGCUCAAAGAGAAGCAGCAUCAACCACGGACACGCCACGCUGGAGGCAGGGGACCGUGUGUGGCACACACCCCUCUCCCGCUCCUUCCAGUGGUCCUCUCCCCCCGGCACAUGCCCUCCAUUGGGACCAUCCCAGCAGCCUCCUCCAGGAAGGCCUCUCUGCUUCCACCCCACCCUCUUGGUCUGUUUCUAACACAGUAGCCACAGGGAUCCUUUUAAAGACUAAGUCAGCUGGCAUCCCUCCUCUGCUUGGUCCCUGCUGCAUGUCCCUGGUAUUGACCUCCCUGCCUCAGCCUGCACCUGGGCCCUGGCUGCAUCCCUCCUUUGCUGGAGUGCAGUGGCGCGAUCUUAGCUCACUCCAACCUCCGCCUCCCGAGUAG